rnacentral:rRNA from 1 species
GACGAACGCUGGCGGCGUGCUUAACACAUGCAAGUGGAGCGACGAACCAGGCUUCGGCCUGGGGCAGAGCCGCGAACGGGUGAGUAACACGUGGGUAACGUGCCCCGAUGACUGGGACAACCCGAGGAAACUCGGGCUAAUACCGGAUAUGCCCCCUCACGAGAGUGAGGUGUGUAAGGGAAGCUUCGGCCUCCGCAUCGGGAUCGGCCCGCGGCGCAUUAGCUUGUUGGUGGGGUAACGGCCUACCAAGGCGACGAUGCGUAGCUGGUCUGAGAGGACGAUCAGCCACACUGGGACUGAGACACGGCCCAGACUCCUACGGGAGGCAGCAGUGGGGAAUCUUGCGCAAUGCGCGAAAAGCGUGACGCAGCAACGCCGCGUGGGGAAGACGGC